rnacentral:lncRNA from 1 species
UGCUUGGUGGGCCCUUUUGGGUUUUGAAGACCAAAUACUUUGCGCUUGAAAAUACUUCUCCAUCACAUUCAUUAAAUGACAGGGAAGGCUGCUGGUUUUUUAGUUCAGCCAAGAGCAAGAAAGGGCUCUGGAACAGAUCCAAGCUGCUGUACAGGCAGCCUUAUUGCUUGAGCCGUAUGACUUGGCAAACAUCAUGAAACUGGGAGGAUUUUUGGUAGAGAAAGAUGCUGGGGUUUUGACAUAUGGCCAUACUAUCUAUAGUUGGCGGAAUUGUGUCUCAAAAAGAUGUGUCGAAGUCCUAACUCCUGGCACCUAUGAAUAUGACCUUAUUUGGAAAUAAUGUCUUUGCAGAUGUAAUCAGGUUAAAAUAAGGUCAUCCUGUAAUAGGGUGUACCCUAAAUAGGAUGGCUUGUGUCCUUAUAAGGAGAGGGAGAUUUGGAGACAUACUUACUCACAGGGAGGGAACGCCAUGUGAAGACAGAGGCAGAGACUGGAGCAAUGCAUCUAGAAGCCAAGAAACACCAAGAAUUGCCAGCAACCGGAAGCUGGGAGAGAGGCUUGGGGUGGUUUCUCCCUCAGAGCUUCCAGAAGGAACCAACCCUGUGAACAGCUGGACUUUGGACUUCUGGCCUCCAGAACUGUCUCCUUUUGGACCUUGGAGACAACAUUGAAGGUGGUUCAAAGAGCAGCCAGCCAGCAAGGGACUACGGAAUUCAAGUCCUGCACCACAGUUGCUGGCUACGUGAGGCUGGGUUACCUCUUGAGGCUCUCUGGGCUGUUAUUUUAGCAACAUGAAGACCUAGAAACAUUUUCCUUGUCAAAGACCUUUGGUUCUAUGAGGUAAGUGGGAUGGGGGGGCGUGCUCCUGGAUUAGGCAGAUUUUGUUUCCAUGCAAGAUACAGUAACUGCAUUUAAUUGAGUACUUACUGUAUACUAUAUAUGUGCAAAGCAUUUUACAGGCAUUAUCUCAUUCAGAUCACACAGUGCUACAACAACACACACUGAGGCUCAGAGCAGCAGAGUGAUUUGUCUGCCACUCAGCUAGUGAGUGGCAGAGCUGCAAAACCCAUUGAAGAAGAUUCACUGGGAGGUAGAAGACUUCCCACUGGGAGGCUGGACAAUGACUUGGCAGGGAGUUGGUCAGUUAAGUCCACUCUCAUUCUAAUAUUCUGUGAACUCAAAGUCCUGUGAUAUUGGAAGCAGGGGUUUUUGAGUACUCCUCCACUUUAUUUCCAGUCUUCUGCUUAUGAAACACGGGACACAGUAUCAUCAAGCUCUUGGCUAAUUUGAACAAAAGUGAAUUGGUAAAAAUAUCUCAUAGGACCAAAAGUAGCUGAACGACUGUCCCUGGGAAUGAAAGGACGUUGGCACCCUGGGGAACCAGGUGGCUGUGGAAACCAAUAGCUUUGGGGGUUGGUGGCAAUGAUGGGCCAGCUCCACCUAUUUCUAGUCUGUCUUUGCUGUGUUUAAGAUUUGAUUCCUAGGAGAGAGCUGAAUGGGCCAGAUUGAAGUAAGGGAAGAAAGAGUGCUGGGAAAAAGGCUGACGCAUGACCUGCUUAGCACAGGAUGGGAGUUAAUGGAAGACCAUGCUCUGUGCUCAAAGCAAGGAAGACC